rfam:Citrus sinensis cultivar Ridge Pineapple sweet orange scaffold00184_contig_31, whole genome shotgun sequence.
AUCCCAAAUAAGCUGAUAUUAAGAAAAAGUGCUUAUUUGAUUCAUGGGAGGCCAAUAUCAAUCAAUACUGGAAGUUUCGCUGGUAACGCCUUUUCCUUUUCUUUUUUACAUGAAGGCGUUCAUUAGUAACUCUGCCAUACACUC